UUGCUGUGAUGACAAUCUUAGGACACCUUUGGAUUAACCAUGAAAAAAACCAUUUUCUGAGCAAC